AGCCCAGGUAGGGAAGUGAAAUACUCUCCAAACUUUCAAAAGGCCUCUUGGUGAACUUUUAAUAGCAAGCUGCUAUGGAAACUUCUGAUUUUUAUUUUUUUGUUUUUGUUUUGCAGGGAAAGAGUCGUCCUGAGCUGGCAUCUGUUGCCAGUCUUCCUCUUUGUAUUUUCCCCUCCUCAGAGCCCCAGCGCAUGGUUAUAUAUCUAGUCGUGAGUCCUCCUGGUUGGCCUACGUAAGCCGCCACCACAGCAUGGCAACUGACAGCUGAGUGUGUGGUUUUGGGACCAGGGACCUAGGCCGCCAAAGCAGAGUGUGCCAAACUUUAACCACUAGGCCAUCAGCGCUGGCUGUUUUUCCUUGAAUAAAUAGUUAAUUUCCUUAUAAAGCAUAGCUGAAAAAAACCUGUUUCUUCCAAGUCAGUUAAGCAUUCCCGUGGGAAUCCUGGCUAAUUAGAUUACACUGUUGACCAAGGAAGUGGCUACUAUGACUGGGGAUAAGGCAGCCUAGCAAACCUAAACCCAGCAGCGAUAAGGCAUGAAAUGCAGUACCUUCACCCAUGUUUCCUGUGGGCUCAUCUGUGGAUUGAGGGUAUUUGAGAUCAAAGUAUAAGUCCUUUCCAGUGGUGAGAUUACAUUCUUCAGCAAAGAGGAAAAGCUAUGUCCUUCAGCCUUCAGAACGCUCCGUCCCUCUUACAAGGCCUCUGCUACGUGCAGGGAGGCUUUAAAAUGCAAAGCUUCACGCAUGGAACACCGAAGCCACAGCAAAGAAGGCAAACCAUGUCUGCACAGUGCCCAGUGACUGCACUCCAGUGAUCUUAGCAAAUGACAAAACUGAUAGCUGCGUUCUUGAAAUCCAUUCCUGUGACAGAUUCUAUGCCAUUUUUAGUUAUCUGAUUUGCUUUUCUUGAAGGCUGAGGCGAAGGUCGUGAUGUAUUGACUUGGGGCAUAAAUAUAAACGUUUCCUUCACUUUUUUCUUCUGACAUCAUCCUCUAGUUGGAGAACAUGGAGACUUUUUGUUUGAUUUGGAGAAGGCAGAGUGUUUACCAAUGGCUGAGGGGUGAUUAAGAAAUAAGGUAACUUCAAAGAGUGUGUGGAGAGAGACCUAGAUAAAGAUUGCCUGGAUCUCUUCUAGAUAUUAUGGGAAGUUGAUUUAGGUUAAACUUGAACAAAUCCUGUUGAGUAGGUCAUUGAAAGUUAAGAAUAAGCUUCAGUGUCUCUGGUGUUGUAAAAACAUUGUCUACAAUAGUAGUCCCAUGCACCGUUUAAGACCCUGACCCUGUUGUCGGGAACUUGUGAUAAAAUUGCAAAUCCUAGUAUUUAAAAAAUUCUUGCUCCUACUUCAUAGGUGUUUGUGAAGCAGUUUUCCAAUACGGCAGUUAAUAAAGGUAGAAUGACCCAUUCGAGUGUAAUCAACAAAUAUUACCAACAAAGGAAAACAUCUGUGUCUACGCAGAUAGGUCACAUGGUGGAGAAAACUGCUAUUAAUUUUCAGGGCUGACUGAGAGCCAGGCUGAAUCAGAUCCUUCUUUUUGGCUGAUGAGAAGCUAACAUGAAUUAUGAUAGUGCAGAAAAGGGCCAAACUAUAAUUUCCAUUUCCAGCAAAGCCACAAAAAGAGUUUAAAGGGUAGAAAGUGCUCAGUGUGUGUCAUUUAUCAUGAAGGCCAGUUUUCUGUUUUGCACAGCGAAAGAUGCUUUGCCAAAAAGUGAAGACCAGAAGGGAAAAUACUCACUUUAAUUUUCGGGCUGUGUGUUGAUGUGGGUCUCUGUCCUCCUGUAUGGUAGCCGCUCCCCACCUGUGGCGGUCGAGCACGUGAACCGUGGCUGGGCUGCACUGAGACGUGCUGUGAAUAUAAAAUACCAACAAAGUGGGAGGACU
ensembl:lncRNA